AUACUUACCUGGCAGGGGAGACACCUUGAUCAUGAAGGAGGUUUUCCCAGAGUGAGGCUCAUCCACUGCACUGCGGAUGUGCUGACCGCUGUGAUUUCCCCAAAUGCGGGGGGAGGGGGGACUGCUAUGGGGGGAAAAGGAAAUGUUCUGCCCCACU